UUGGCUGGAAACCAGUUUAGGGUGUACACCUCCUCUCGCCCGAAGAUAGCUGGGAUAGGCUCCAGCACGCCGGUGACACCGUGCUACAGAAGACGGACGGAGGUGAAGGUGUAUACAAACAACAGGUCAGAAGACAUACGUUAUAUCCAUCAAUCCAUUUUCUGAGCCACUUAUCCACACAAGGGCAGGCACGGAGAAAGCAUCCAAACUCCACACAGGUGGGGCCGGGAUUUGAACCCCGGUCCUCAGAACUCUGAGGCCACCGUCCUAACCAGUCGCACCACCAUGCCUCUCAAAACAAUAUAUAGUUUUGUGCCGCACCUUAUAAAGCUACAAGGUAAAAUAAACCCCCUUUCUGUUCUUUGACUUCAUUCUGAUAGCAUUAUGCCAGACCUUCAGCAUAGGCCUUUGGGACAUAGUCUUUUUUUCUCUUCUUUAGCAGCGCGCAGGCCCUCAGUUGGGAAAAAAAGCUUCUAGAAAUUUUCCAGCAUGCUGCAGUUCACACAUCACGUGAGAACCAGUCAAACAGAAUGUCAAGGCAGGAUCCGGAACAAUGUGCAGGAUUCCUGAAUGUUCUGGAUUCCAAAAGUCACGCCAGUGUAUUUUUCUCCUCUCAAGUUUUUCUUUUUUUUUAAAUAGUACAGCCAUCCAUUAUCCAAACCACUUAACCUCACAAGGGUCACAGGAAAGCUGGAGCCUAUCUUAGCUAGCUUCGGGCAAAUGGCCGACUACACCCUGAACCGGUCGGCAGUCAGUCGCAGGGCAGAUAUUGACACCAUAUUACUGUGGUUGCCGCUUAAUAGACUGUUUUCGACCAAGUGACUACAUCCAGGGCACCUGGCCAGGUUGGAUGGGUUCACUAUACUGACGCGCUGUUCACUCUAAGGCUUUUGCAUAUAGACCGGAGUUACACAAAUGUUUGUACGACUGUUACGAGUGACGCAUGAUGGCUAAAAAGACUUUGGAAAGUUAUCAGUGCUCAUUAGAUGUUGUUUCAGGAAACCGUUAACGACAAGAAGUGCGCUUUGAUCGACAAUAUCGAGCCAUACGCCUUGGAGAAACACAAAUGGAGCACACAACUGUAGGCGUCAGUAACCUAUCCAGACAUUGCCCACUAUCUCCUCAUCUCGACAAGCGCUUAUACCGUGGACCAACUAAAAAAUUAUAAAGGUCUGAAGGCCUACAACCAAUUCAUCAAUGGCUGGCUUCGUCAUGCUGGGGUAUCCAUUGUAUGCAACCUGUCUCCCCACACUGCUAAGGAUGGGAAAAACCCAUGGAAUCUUCACCCAGGAAUGUUGGAGCCGAUUCAAACUCGGAACCUCCGAACUGUGCGGCAGAUGUGCAAACCACUCACUCACCAUGUUCCCAUCAAAGGUAUUUCUUCUUUUAAAAAAAAAAAAAAAAGCAAGUUGAACAUGUGUUUUUUGUUUUGUGAAGUGAAAAUAAAUGCUGAAUCCUA